CCAUCUUUAGUCUUCUUUAGUCUGUUUUGUACAAACUCACAAUCAAACCCUCACAUAUUUUUCUGUCCAUAUUCAAGAAAUCCUCAAAUUCCCGCCCACCCAUCUUUUGUAAAAAUCCUAAAAAUCACCUCUCACAGACCCAGCAUCAAACCCCUUCGAUCCCCGGAAAAAACCCUCAAGAUCCAAAGAAAGAAACACCAUGUGGUAAGAAUCUCGUGAUCGCGUCCUCUUCCAAACGCACUUACAGUAACAGACGUGGCUUCCUGGUGGUUCUUUUCAUUUUCAAUAACAAUAAUUUGGAAUCUGUGCAUGGAGCUCCACAUCAAGGUAGCCCAAGGGAAGUGUGGAAGUCCUCGCUUUGUGCACACAUAGCCUCGGUGAAAUUCGAAAGAAAAAAAAACAAAGGAAUGAAACCAAGAAAAAAAUCUGCACACGUAGCCUCGGCGAAUGAGCCACGGUGGAGUGCACCGACGAUGGCCGACUCAAGCCGGAGAACAUGAUGGGGCUUGAUGGUGCCCCUAUCCAAAGGCAGCACCCACAGGAGAAGCAGCGGCAGAGGUUGGGUACAACACUGAAAAAUCGGAAAAAGAAAAAACCCACUGGAAACUUAACCAGUGUAUACUAUGAGCAGAGCAACCUUGAUAUGGCAAUACUCAACUACAAGCGAGCAAUAACUUGGGCAAUGCAUUAAAAGAUGCUGGGAGAGUAGAGGAAUAAAUCCACUGUUACCGACAAUGCCUGUCUCUUCAACCCAGUCACCCUCAAGCUCUAACUAAUCUUGGAAAUAUUUAUAUGGAGUGGAACAUGACGAGUGCUGCAGCUCAGUGCUACAAGGCAACACUAGCUGUUACAACAGGACUUUCUGCCCCUCUUAAUAACUUAGCUGUAAUACACAAGCAGCAGGGUAAUUAUGCGGAUGCAAUAUCUUGCUACAAUGUGGUCCUCAGGAUUGAUCCAUUGGCAGCUGAUGGCAGAUACUUCACUAAAGAGAAGUUCAAAGCAUAUGUUAUUGUCUAUAACCAUCCAAAGGCAAUCACAGUGUGCUAUGUGAAGGUCAAUGAAGAUGAUAAAACUGAUGCUGCAAGGAUGUGCUUGUACCUAA